AAUGCAAAGUUUUAAUAGUAAAGGGCAAAUGAUGCAAUAAGUUCUGAAGAGUUUUAUACCAUACAACACAUCAAAGGGAUAAAAAUGUAAAUCGAGCAUAAAACCUUAUGUUCGCAACAUAAAGCUGUACAUUACUAAUUUGACAACUCCUAAUGGCACAUCACAUUAACCAAAUGGACCAUAAGUUAACAACGAACUCUUUAGCUCUAAAGAAAUUUCAUUCAACUACUUUUUUAGCAAAUAAAAGCAGUGAUGUUUACCAAAUAACCCUCAUUCCCUUCAGAUCUUCAAUUCCUUCUUAGUAAGAAAAAGAUUAGUUAUUCUAAUGUUAAAGAUAGGCAAGUGACGAUACAUAUUAUAAUUCUUAAAGAUCUAUGCUAAAACUCAACUAAGGAAGUAACUCUUCAAUGCAAAAGGUUUUGAAAUGCUAUUGAAACUCUUUAACAAACACAGCGAAGAAGGCGUAACAUGCUGAAAUUAAGCAACAGAAUACUUCAAAUACUAAGACAUAUGAUUGUUACAGUGCUAUAGCAAUGUGAGGUCCAAUCAAAUUUAUGCUCACUCAAGCAUUAGUGUAACUUAAUAGAAGAAGUUGAAAAAUGACAUUCCAAAUAAAAUAAGCCAACUGAAAAGGAUCUAGUAAACCUCCAACAACGGUUACUAAUUUUCAUUCAACAGGUUCAUAACUUCAAAAUAGGUCAUGUGAAAUUAAACAAAACUACAGGGAUUCCAUGUGUACUUAAUUGAGAGCAUGAAACAAGUGAUUCACAUAAACAUCCCAUUUUUGAGUUACUUAAUUGUUUCAGUCAAAUGGAGGCUAAAUACACGUUUGGUAAACAAAAGAAUCAGCACUAGUCAUACUUGAACAAAUAAGUGGAAAAGAAAACUAAAUAGGAAUCCAACAAUUUUCAUUCAUAAUUGAAAUCAUAAUACGGAAAGGGUUCGAGCUAACCUGAUAGAACAAAUAAAAGCUAGAAUGAACCGACUAAGAAAAUAGAAGCAAACUCGCAAGAAAGCUCAGCAAUUCCAGGAAAAAGCAGCAAAAUCAGUGGAAAUCAAACGGCAAAUCCACAAGUUUUAGAACCAGAAAUCACCUCAAUCCAACUUCAUUCUUAAGAACCCAGAAUCAAACAAAAUGCUGAAAAAUAACGUUUUUUUUGUGCUUUCCUGAUUUCUUUUGAAAUGAAACUCGAACGAGGAAAUAAACUCAAACCAUUUUUUUGUUUUCAAACAAAGGGUGUCGACUCAGAGAAUUGAAAGUCUCAGAAGAAGAAAAACUUCGUAAUCCUAGAAAUUUACUACUAAAUUUUUCUGAAGAUCUCAUCCCAAUUUUUUCUAGCACAUAAGACUUACCUCAUAUAUAUAGCCUUCAAAAACUUUCAAAAAUCUGCCCAAAUCCUAAAAAAUCUUCAGGUUUUUGAACAAUUUUGGGACAAAUAGAGGGCGUGGAUUGAUUCACAUCUAUCCAUUGCUCCCAUUCAUCCAACAAUUGUCCUGUUGGUACAAAAAUCCGUGAUUUUGAGGGAAUAUUCGUACUCCUCUCUAACAAAUCCAUUGGGAAAUAGAGAUGACGUGGAGAGGAGGGGACCAAUAAGUGAACUUGGGUGAAACUUAGGCGAGUUGAGGUGAGUUCGAAGGUGAGGAAGAUGAAGGAAUAGUGCCCAGCGCCAUUUUCUGAUAUUCUCUAG
rnacentral:lncRNA from 1 species